GAGGGUAUAGGUCAGUGGUAGAGUGCAUGCCUAGCAUGCAUGAAGUCCUGGGUUCAAUCCCCAGUCCUUCCA
rnacentral:tRNA from 1 species